rnacentral:rRNA from 1 species
GAUGAACGCUGGCGGCGUGCCUAAUACAUGCAAGUCGAGCGAACAGACGAUGCGCUUGCUCCUCUGACGUUAGCGGCGGACGGGUGAGUAACACGUGUAUAACCUACCUAUAAGACUGGGAUAAUUUCGGGAAACCGGAUCUAAUCCCGGAUAAUAUAUUGAACCGUGUGGGUCAAUAGUGAAAUACGGUUUUUCUGUCACUUAUAGAUGGAUCUGCGCCGCAUUAGCUGGUUGGUAAGUUAACGGCCUACCAGGGCGACUAUGCGUAGCCGACCUGAGAGGGUGAUCGCCCACACGGGAGCGGAGACACGGUCAAGGCGCCUGCGAGAGGCCGCAGUAGGGAAUGUUCCGCAAUGGGCGAAAACUUGACAGAGCAACGCCGAGUGAGUGAUAAAGGUCUUCGGAUCGUAAAACUCUGUUUUUAGGGAAAAACAACUGUGUAAGUAGAUAUGCACGUAUUGACGGUAACUAGUAAGAAAGCACCGGCUAACUACGUG